UCCCGUGUGGUCUAGUGGUUAUGAUGUCUGGUUUUCAAUUAAAUUCUUAUUAAAUCCCAGAAGAUCACGAGUUCGACCCUCGUCACGGGAA
rnacentral:tRNA from 1 species